rnacentral:rRNA from 1 species
UGUUUUUCUUAUGGUAUGAUGAGCAAGCCCCGCGGCUUCCCCCCGUGGAGGGUCAUUUGAAUGUGGGAUUUCCUGAGUGCAGAAGAGGAAAGUGUAACUUCUCAUGUGUAGUGGUGAAAUGCGGAGAGAUAUGGAGGGACACUCAGUGGCGUAGGCGUCUCUCUGGUCUGUCACUCACACUGAGGCGCGAAAGCGUGGGGAGCCAACAGGAUUAGAUACUCCUGGUAGUCUCUCGCCGUAAUCGAUGAGUGCUAAGUGUUAGAGGGUUUCCGCUCUUUAGUGCUGAAGUUAACGCAUUAAGCACUCCUCCUGGGGAGUACGGCCGCAUGGCUGAAACUCAAAGGAAUUGACGGGGGCCCGCACAAGCGGUGGAGCAUGUGGUUUAAUUCGAAGCAACGCGAAGAACCUUACCAGGUCUUGACAUCCUUUGAAAACCCUAGAGAUAGGGCUUCUCCUUCGGGAGCAGAGUGACAGGUGGUGCAUGGUUGUCGUCAGCUCGUGUCGUGAGAUGUUGGGUUAAGUCCCGCAACGAGCGCAACCCUUGAUCUUAGUUGCCAUCAUUAAGUUGGGCACUUUAAGGUGACUGCCGGUGACAAACCGGAGGAAGGUGGGGAUGACGUCAAAUCAUCAUGCCCCUUAUGACCUGGGCUACACACGUGCUACAAUGGACGGUACAAAGAGCUGCAAGACCGCGAGGUGGAGCUAAUCUCAUAAAACCGUUCUCAGUUCGGAUUGUAGGCUGCAACUCGCCUACAUGAAGCUGGAAUCGCUAGUAAUCGC